rnacentral:rRNA from 1 species
AACGAACGCUGGCGGCAGGCUUAACACAUGCAAGUCGAACGGUUGUAGCAAUACAGCAGUGGCAGACGGGUGAGUAACACGUGGGAACCUUCCUAGGGGUACGGAACAACUCAGGGAAACUUGAGCUAAUACCGUAUACGUCCGUGAGGAGAAAGAUUUAUCGCCCCUAGACGGGCCCGCGUAGGAUUAGGUAGUUGGUGAGGUAACGGCUCACCAAGCCUACGAUCCUUAGCUGAUCUGAGAGGAUGAUCAGCCACACUGGGACUGAGACACAGCCCAGACUCCUACGGGAGGCAGCAGUGGGGAAUCUUGGACAAUGGGCGCAAGCCUGAUCCAGCCAUGCCGCGUGAGUGAAGAAGGCCUUCGGGUUGUAAAGCUCUUUUACCAGGGACGAUAAUGACGGUACCUGGAGAAUAAGCCCCGGCAAACUUCGCGCCAGCCGCCGCGGUAA